UUUAAUUUAUUUUUGAAUUAAAAAAAAUCAUGUGUUACGUAGAUAAUUAAUUAGGUGACACGUAGAUAUUUUAAUUAAUUAUUACUAAUAUAUACAAUUCCAUCCAAAAUCUAACACUCUAAUAAUUAAACAAUAAAUCUAAAAUAAAUUUAUCCAAAAUCAAACACUAAUCUAAAAUAAAAUUCAACCAAAAUCAAACACUAAUCUAAAUAAAAUUUAAUCUAAAAUCAAACACUAAUCCAAUAAUAGAGCGUCACGUAAGAAAUCUAAUGCUUUCGGGCAAUGAAAAAUAAUAUUUUGAAUUAAAAAAGUCGAGUGCCAAGUAGAUAAAAAAUUAGAAUUCGUGCAUUGCACGGGCUAAAAUCUAGUAUGUAAAUAAGAUAGUCGAUAUAAAAAAGGAAACAAAUUAGAAUAUUAAGAUUUUCCCACCUUUUUUGUACAUAUAUAAUAUGUUAUAUAUAAGUUAAAUAUUUCAGUUUCCAAUUUAAAUCAUGACACGUAAACACGCCAUAUCAUCAUUGUGACACGUCUUAAAGGUCGCAUGUUGCGACCUUUAUCAUUUUCGUAAAAAAGAUAUUAAAGCCAACAACACUGCAUUGGCUCCUUGGUAUAUUACCGUAGAAAUCAUCAAGUAUCUUACCAACAAAGCUUGAUUUGAUUGCUCAUUUUAUUUUAUUUUUCAAAUUCUGUAUUUCGAUUAGAAUUAAACCCUUCUAUAUCCAACACAUUUCAUCAAUUGCCCAAUUCAUCAAAACCCACCUCCCAAUUUCUAGUCAAUUGCACAAUUAAAUCCAUCAUUUAGAUUAUAACUAGUAUAGUACCUGUACGAUGCACGAUUUAUAAUCUAAAUAUAAAUUUAUAUGAAAUAUGGUAGACAAUUAUCAUAAAAAUAGAGUUUAUAGAUAUUCUCCAAACUAAAUUUAAUGAUGGAUAAAUUUUAUAUUGAUUAUUCGGUGUCUUAUUAAACAAUUAAAACGAUUAAAAGAAAUAAGGGUACGUAAAUUAUUUUCAUUCUCUUUCACCACCAGUGUCAAGCAUAAAGUUAUCUCAUCCACUCUUUACUUCAAUAGUAAUACCCUCCUAAUACUCGCACAGUCGCCUCAUCAACCCCAUUACCCGAUCACUUAACACCUACCUACACCAUUUACUUUAUUUAGGUAUAGAUGACUUUGAGGCGGUGCGAGGCUUGCACACCCGUACCCGCCUGUAAUUCAAUUCUCAUUAUCCCCUCCAUCCACGAUAGGGAUGAUCAUACCUACCUCUCCCAAUCCCUGUCUCGAAAGGUACAAAAUAAAAUGCAUUCCCUAUCUCUUCAUCACCCCCUGUAUCCACACCCGCCUCAUACCUACUCCUAGGCUCAACUUUUUUUUUGUAAGGGAGUUUGAAUUUCAAAACUAUAUUAUGGAGUAUUUGAGAAUUCGUUUUCCUGAUCAGAGUAAUUGAGUAAAUAAAAAAAUAUUAUAAUAUGUAAGUUAGUAGUAAAUAUUUUUAUAUAUUCAUACUUAAUUAGAUGUAGGAUUAUUGACGUGUGCAGGUCCAAUCUAAUUACAUUCAUCAUCGCCCCAUCACCCGCGAAAAAAUAAAUUUUUUAAACCCAUCACUUACAAAACUUUCCUCCAUCCCCGCAUAUUUGGGGCAGAUGCGCGAGGGGAUCACCCACAAAAUCCACCCCCCUGAAAUUAACAUCCCGAUAUUCGAUAAUAAUCCACUUUUCCAUUCAACUAACUUUUAAAUAUCUUAACAUAAGUUUAUUACGAAGUAUUAAAAUUGAUUGUAUUAGCUAUAAUAUUGAUAAAAAUAUAUUCAAAAGUGACAUACAUAAUUAGGAUUGGGUGAGUAUUAUCAAAUCCAAUCAAUUCAAACUCGCCCCAUCACAAAAAUGGGUACAUGUUAUCCUUAUAUCCGUCCAUCAACAACAAAUUUAUCGUUAGUCAACAUUUCAAUCAUCUACGUUUAUUUUUGUGGUCAGCCCAUUCUAAAGUCCAAACUCGCCCCGUCAUCAAAGGUGAUGCAUAUAUAAAUUUAAUUUUGCACGGAAUUUUAGAUUGAUAUUGCAAUCAUUUACAUAAUUAGUAUAUAAAAAAUAUUUUAUUUUUGCAAACAUAUUAAUAAUAAGGAAACUUAAUCAUCUAGGUCUUAUAAUUUUGAAAAUAGUUACGGAGUAUUACGAUAUUAUUAGUCAAAAUUUCAAUCUACAUGCCUUUAAGACUUCAAUAAUAUGAGCGAAUAAAUUAUUAUCCGUGCUCUGUAUAAAAAUAUUACAAUAAUGAUAAUGUAGCCAAAGUUUAUUUUGAUAUUAAGAUUAAGAUAAGCUACUGGCUAGGGUCCGUCAUUAAAAAAAAAAGUGCAUGGAUAAGGGUCUCAUUUUGCUAGUUAACAUUGGGCUUAUAGUAAUUGGUUUUAUAUACUCUUAUUUACAGUUGAUUGAUUUUCUAAUUUAUUUGUAUUCUAAUUAUGUAAGUACAAAUCAGUAGACUACUCUUAAAUUUUUAGUCGACAUUAGUGAAUCAUCUUUAGCCCAAUCUAAAAUCCAAAAUGGUAUCAUCAUCAAGUAUGAUGCACCAUCUACAUGUAUAAAUCAAAUGUUGCACGAAAUUUUUAAGAGAUAUGCAAUCAUUUACAUUAACAAAAUUUUCAAUUCAACUUAUUUACUUUUCUUAAUUUAAGUCUAUUCCUUAAAUAAAUAAUUACUUCUUAUCAAUAUGAUUUUGUUUGAAAUUAAAAUUUUAUUGAAUAAAAUUUAUAAUCAACUAUUUUCUUAAUUAGCUUCAUUCACAUUCAAUUACAAUUAAUAGUUAAUUCAAAUUUUACUUGAGCCCGUACAUGUUAGGUUUUUACAAUUUUGGUUUUGUGACUGAUUGCAUGUCCUUUGAAAUUCUGUACUUCGAUUAGAAUUAAACCGUUCUAUAUCCAACACAUUUCAUCAAUUGCCCAAUUCAUCAAAACCCACCUCCCAAUUUCUAGUCAAUUGCACAAUUAAAUCCAUCCUUUAGAUUAUAACUAGUAUAGGACCCGUGCGAUGCACGAUUUACAUAUUUUAACUUUAAGUGCAAAGUUAAAUUAACUUAGAACAUAGAAAAAUACGUAGAUUUUUUUAUUCAUUUUCACGCAUCACCCAUAAUUCAUUUUAGAUAUAAUAAUCAAAUAUCAUCCUAUACUAUGAGAGAUUUCAAUUCUCAACCUGAACCGUUGAACUCGCUGGGUUGGUCUGAUCGUUUAGAACCCGAACCGUUAAUAACCUGCGAGCUAGAACUCAAAAUCGAUCCAAUUAUAUUCAUCCCAAACCGAUUAAGAUCCUAAACACGAUAACAAACCUUUUCGCAACAACACGAUUCGUUUCAAGCCGAACCUAAUGGAUCUGGAAUCCGUUAGUGACCCAAUCCGUUUCAAUCUGAACCGUUUGAACCGAGGAAAACCCUUUUACAACCUGAACGAUUUUAACCUGUAACCCGCUUAAUCCAAACCAUUUACAACAUGUAACUCGUUUAAUUCGAAUCGUUUGUAACCCCAUAGUCCAUUUAAUCUCGCUACUGGUCUUAAACUUUUAACACUUUUAAAAGUUAGUUAUUGCCUUUCUCGUCCCCUAAUCACGGCCUCAAUAUUUGUAUUUAUAAACUUAUUAAAAACUGUGAUUUUAUAAUUGGAACCGAAUUCACCUGACCCGAAGCACAAUCCUCUACCCAUUUCAUAACGCUAUUGAUUUAUCCACAUUGUAUGAACCUAAACCAACAAAAACCUGAAUCGAUAUAAACUUGAACCUUAUGUAACCCAUCUAUACCUGUUCAACCCAACCCAUUCAGAUCCAAUAUUAAGUUCAAUUACUAUUUCAUUUUUUAUUGUGUUACCCGUACCCAUUUUGUUACCCGCCCCAUCUCAAGUUUAUUCUCUUGAAAUCAGGUUAGAUCAAAUCCAUAAAUUUCAAUUAUGCCCUAUUAGAUUUAAUCAGGUCCAAGUCUAGUAAAUUUGUCUUUUGUUUAUGGUACAGUAGUAAUACGUAUAUAUGUUGAAUAAGGUAUAUGACUUAUUGAAAUAUUUAGUUCAAAUAUUCCUAUACGUAUGGGUUAAUCGCAAUAAAGAAUAUAUACAUAAUAAACAUUCCAAUACAAUUUUAUUCCUAUUAUCCUAUAAAAAGUAUAAGAGAAUAAAAUUAUUGUAGUUUGCUAAUAAAACAUGUGUGCCUUCGGUUAUUCAUAUAUUGAUGGUUAGUAAACGUUAACGUGAUUACGCAAUUAUACCUUUUUUUUUCUUUGACGAGAGGUUAUACCUAUACUCUUGUACGCGGCACAUUAAAUCAUGUUUAGUAAUGCAUAUUUGCAGAAUAUUUAGCGUUUACUAAUGCAUAUUAGCAGAAUAUUUGACAUACCAUAAUUAAGGUUUUUGUUUUAAUUAAUUAUUAUAUUAUAAGAGAGGCAAAUCAAAGAGUGACACUUGGCAGCUCGACAUUGAUUCCCUAUCUCUCUUUUAGUAUAAUAUAUAUAUAUAUAGAAAAUUUAUAAAUUUUAGUUGUUUCCUUAUCCAAAUAUAUUAUGGUGUAUAUUUUUCCUUAAGUAACACAAAGUAAAUUUGACUAAUAAUUGUAAUUAUUAUUAAAAAAUUAUAAGAGAGACGAAUCAUAAAGUGACCCAUUUAUCAUCACCACACUUAUUUUCUCUCUUUUAGUAUAAGAUAUAGAUAAGAUUACACAAUAUUCAUAAUCUUUGACUCGAUUGCAAAUAUUGUGCUUUGGCUAUAUAUAUAUGGUAGAGUUUUUUUUUUUUUUUAAGUCAAUUGAACUAAUGAGUGAGAAUAAGAGUUGGGGUUUAAUAUAAUUAACUUAAAUUAUUAAAUUAAUUAAUUGCAAUACAUAUCAGUACAUAAUAGUUUCAGUCCAUAGCAGUGCACAUCAUUUACUAUAGACUCAUUCAAAAAUGUACUGAGCAAAAAAAUCAUAAAAAACUAUAAUCGAAGGGAAUAAUCAAUUUCUGUCAAGUUGCCAAAUGAAGUUUAUUUAUGAUAGGAAAUCAACAAAAGUUGGUCUAAUUAGAAAUUUAAACACAAUAAUAAAACUCGAAAAUAAUUAUUUUUCAAUCAAUUAGCCAUUUUCCAUCAACUGUUAACAUUCUUUCAAUACAUUCUCUGUAAUCCCCCGUAAAUUUAUAAAUUUUAUUAAUAUAUUUUAACGUAUAUUAUUUAUAUUUAAAUAGAAUUUAUGAACUUUAGUAAUAAAUAUAUAAUUAACGUAUAUUUAUUUAUUACAUUUUAAUAUUUUCAACGAUUUACGAAAUCGAAAAUGAUUUUAGAAUUUUAAGUUAAAACGCAUUUGAAUUACGAAAUUCCGUUCGAUUGAAAUUAGGAAACAAUCCUAAACAGUGUUGAAUUCAAAUUCUAAAGUUAAAUACUACUCCUAGCCCAAUUGGGCAAAGCCCAAGCCAAUAAACCCAACAAAACACCCCCUUCUCUUCUCUAUUUUUCACGUGAAACCAAAGAAAGAAAAAGAAACCCUCCAUCCUUCUUUCAAUCUCACGCACGACAACACAGCUGUGCCCUCCUCUCCACCUUGCUCUUCGCGGCGCCGUCCCAGCCGCCACAGCCACCGGUGAUAACGCCGCCACCGUGAGCUCGCCGCCGUCGAUACUCCGCCGCCGCCAGCACAUCCCUGACCACCGUCCCGCCACCACCACCGUGUGCCGCCGCCGCACGCAACUUCUUGCUCAGCCUUGCCGCGAACCAACGUCCGUCCGCCGGCCAGCUCUUCUCUCUCCUCCUUAAUUCUUGGCGGAGAAUUCUCUUUAGGCGACUUUUGAAAGUGUUAAAGUGGCCUAUCAGUUUGUUUACACAAGGAAUAAAAUGUUUCUUUCCAAGUAUACCAACAUAGGAUCUUUCGAGAAACUUGAUAUAGAAACCUCAGAUAUUUACGUGAAGAAAAUCAUGUUUGGAUGUGAAUAUUAUGCUAAAGUUCAAGGGCAACCUAUCUUAAUGAGAAAGGAUAUCAUAGCAGCUACUAUCAUUAAUUGCUUACCUAACAAAUUUCCAUACCUAGAACUCAAGGAAAAGUUUAAAGACAUGCAUUCUGAUAAUGGAACUCCAAACUUGGCUAAAUAUGGAAUUGGGAUGGUAGAUGGAAAUAUGAUUCAGAAAUUCUGACCACCAUUAUUGAGGCGGCAGAAAGUGGGUUUAGAGACGGUAAAAUCGUAGGGAGUCAUGUUGGAGAUGCAGUUACAGAAGAACCUAUGGGAGUAAGUGUAAAUAAUGACCUAGAGGAAAAUGAUGUAGCCGUGGAGAGUGAGAAUGUAGGUGUUGAGGCAGAGAAUCCUAACCUAGUGGCCCAUGAGCCAACCAUUGAAAUUUCUAAAGAUUCAGAUGCAGAUCUCGAAAGUGAGCAGGAGGUGGCAAAUGAGCCUAAUCAAGAUGAAGAUAUGGAAGAAGAUGAAGACCCUGAGGAAGAGUUUGAUGAUCUUGAGAUCUAAAUUUCACUCCGCAAGUUUCAGGAGCAAUGGAUAGGCAAGAGGCCACAAAUAUUUUGAAGUCAUAAAUAGUUAAUUUAACUCUUUUAUGUUUUAGAGAAUAAGUAGCGAAGCUACAACAGUUUAAAGUUAAAGUUUAUUGAAGUUUGAAAUGUUCUUUAUUAUUUUCAAGGAUGUAAUAAACCUUUAUGGAGUUAGCAAUAAAAGUUAAAAAUUUCAAGGAAUUAUUCUUUAUU